GAUCAAGUGAAAGAAGGGCAUUUGGUGGAUGCCUUGGCAUGCACAGGCGAUGAAGGACGUGAUACGCUGCGAAAAGCCGUGGGGAGCUGCGAAUGAGCUUUGAUCCAUGGAUCUCCGAAUGGGGCAACCCACCUUAGAUGCUUGGAAAAUCAUUUUGGUUGGCAUCUGGUCCCGAAGCCGUAAGGCUUCGCAAGGCCAGAGGCCGUCGCCGGUUAUCCGGCGUCAAGAAACCAAAGUGGUUUCCAAGCAUUGUUGAAAGGUAUCUUAUUCUGAAUACAUAGGGAUAAGAAGCGAACGCAGGGAACUGAAACAUCUAAGUACCUGCAGGAAAGGACAUCAACCGAGACUCCGCAAGUAGUGGCGAGCGAACGCGGACCAGGCCAGUGGCAAUGAGGAAUAAAGUGGAACGAUCUGGAAAGUUCGGCCGUAGCGGGUGAUAGCCCCGUACACGUAGAACACUCAUUGUCCUUGAGUAAGGCGGGACACGUGAAAUCCUGUCUGAACAUGGGGAGACCACUCUCCAAGCCUAAGUACUCGUGCAUGACCGAUAGCGAACAAGUACCGUGAGGGAAAGGUGAAAAGCACCCCGACAAGGGGAGUGAAAUAGAACCUGAAACCGGAUGCCUACAAACAGUCGGAGCCCGCAAGGGUGACGGCGUACCUUUUGUAUAAUGGGUCAACGACUUAGUGUGGCAUGCAAGCUUAAGCCGGUAGGUGGAGGCGUAGCGAAAGCGAGUCUGAACAGGGCGCUUUAGUAUGUCGCAUUAGACCCGAAACCGAGUGAUCUAGCCAUGAGCAGGUUGAAGGUUGGGUAACACCAACUGGAGGACCGAACCCGCAUCUGUUGCAAUAGAUUGGGAUGACUUGUGGCUAGGGGUGAAAGGCCAAUCAAACUCGGAAAUAGCUGGUUCUCCGCGAAAACUAUUUAGGUAGUGCGUCGACCGAAUACCCUCGGGGGUAGAGCACUGGAUGGGCUAUGGGGACUCACCGUCUUACUGAUCCUAACCAAACUCCGAAUACCGAGGAGUACUAGUCGGCAGACACACGGCGGGUGCUAACGUCCGUCGUGAAAAGGGCAACAACCCUGACCUCCAGCUAAGGUCCCCAAGUCAUGGCUAAGUGGGAAAGGAUGUGAGGAUCCCAAAACAACCAGGAUGUUGGCUUAGAAGCAGCCAUCAUUUAAAGAAAGCGUAACAGCUCACUGGUCUAAAUAAGGGUCUUUGCGCCGAAAAUGUAACGGGGCUGAAGCCAUGCACCGAAGCUGAGGAUACGUCGUAAGACGUGUGGUAGCGGAGCGUUCCGUAAGCCAGUGAAGGGAUACCCGUGAGGGGUCCUGGAGGUAUCGGAAGUGCGAAUGUUGACAUGAGUAACGAUAAAGAGGGUGAGAGACCCUCUCGCCGAAAGACCAAGGGUUCCUGCUUAAAGUUAAUCUGAGCAGGGUUAGCCGGCCCCUAAGACGAGGCGGACACGCGUAGUCGAUGGGAACC
rnacentral:rRNA from 1 species